CAGCAGCCGCGGUAAUACGGAGGAUCCGAGCGUUAUCCGGAUUUAUUGGGUUUAAAGGGAGCGUAGAUGGAUGUUUAAGUCAGUUGUGAAAGUUUGCGGCUCAACCGUAAAAUUGCAGUUGAUACUGGAUAUCUUGAGUGCAGUUGAGGCAGGCGGAAUUCGUGGUGUAGCGGUGAAAUGCUUAGAUAUCACGAAGAACUCCGAUUGCGAAGGCAGCCUGCUAAGCUGCAACUGACAUUGAGGCUCGAAAGUGUGGGUAUCAAACAGGAUUAGAUACCCUGGUAGUCCACACGGUAAACGAUGAGUACUCGCUGUUUGCGAUAUACAGCAAGCGGCCAAGCGAAAGCGUUAAGUAUUCCACCUGGGGAGU
rnacentral:rRNA from 1 species